GGUCCCUCCCCGUCCCUGGGCUCCUCUGCAGUCCCCCUCGGCCUCCUCAACGCAGCUUUCCCAGCAGCUUAGGAUAUCGGUUUUUGUUGGACUUGAAAUUGGGAGUUGAGGGCGGCCUGGAGGCGCGCGGGAAGGAGAUUUGGGGUGCGGCUGCUUCAUAAAGAUGUUGCCUUUUACCCCAGCAGUCCCCCGCCCCCUACGCGGGGUGGUGGCAGGAAACCGGUUCCUGAGUUUUCCUUCUUUCUUUUCCUCGACACGACCUCCCCACCAGUGUGUUUCUGUUUAUCCUCCUCGCCCGGGGGCUGGGUCCCUGGCGAAGCCUCGUUUUCACCCACCCACCCCCAAGCCAGAGCUCACCAGUGAUGUAAUGCGGGACCCGCGCGGGGAGGGGAAACGGCAGCCUCAACCGCCUGGCAGCGGCGGUUUCUUCUCUUCGUGAAAAUCGUGAUCUCAUCUCUCCGUCCAAGGGCGAAAAAACAGCCAUCACCAGGCCAUUCACGCUUUGUGCUUUUGUUAGCAGAGCCCAGGCAGCCCUGCAGCCCACAUCUAGGGUACAAACGGAACGGCGGCGUUUUCCUUGUAUCAUUUAGAGGAAAUUUUUGAGCUGAACAGUAUUUUUUUUCUCCCUCUCUCUCUCUCUGAAAUAUUGCUGAGAUUUAAAGGAGGACGAAGACAACAGAUUCAUAGCUGGGUCUUGCUGUUUUGCUGACGCUGACCACAGCGGAUCUAGGUGGCUAUUUCGUUGGUGCACAGGCGUUCACAGAGGCAGAGAGGGGAGAAAGUUGUCAAACAGGUUCACAGACUGUCAAAGUGCGGCUUAAACCGAGUUCCUGGGCUCCCUCACUGGCUUCGUCCACUUAAACUUUUAACGUACACAUGUAGAGAGCUGAAACUCCAGGGGUAACAUGGGACAGGUCCUCUUGAUUUAAUGAAAACAGAAGAUCAACUGGACCGGGUAGCAAGAAAUAGGGCUUAAGAAGCACUGGAUUCUCUGCAGAAGACAGCAAGAUGCCCCCAGGGAAUGUUUGUGAAAAAGGAUGACUGGAUGGGAAGCAAGCUGAAGAAAAAGAGGGAAAGAAAGAGAGAAAUCAGUAAAUCACCACACAAGAGGUGGAGAAGAGGACUUAUAAAUAUUGUUUCUAUGACAUUUGAAAAUAAAUGUUUUACUCCAUGCUAAUAGUGAAUGUGGUGUCUUCAGUUUGAAGGGCUUUAAGUGAAGCUCAUUAAAAC
rnacentral:lncRNA from 1 species